UCUUGCUUUGCAUGUAAUGCGUCUAUCUCAUAUAUUAGUUUCCCCUUUUACGUUGCAUUACUGAAAUAAAUGAACUUUUGCACAAUAUUCAAAUUUUUCGAGUAUCACCUGUACAUUAGCACUUCCAUUGUCAUUGUUGGUAUAUUCUUUAUAUGUGACAUAAUACAAACCGACUGCUAUACCAUACAAUCUCUGGACUUCCC